rnacentral:rRNA from 1 species
CCUACGGGUGGCAGCAGUGAGGAAUAUUGGUCAAUGGGCUCAAGCCUGAACCAGCCAAGUCGCGUGAGGGAAGACGGCCCUACGGGUUGUAAACCUCUUUUGCCGGGGAGCAAAGGGCGUCACGUGUGGCGCCACUGCGAGUACCCGACGAAACAGCAUCGGCUAACUCCGUGCCAGCAGCCGCGGUAAUACGGAGGAUGCGAGCGUUAUCCGGAUUUAAUGGGUUUAAAGGGUGCGUAGGCGGACCGGUAAGUCAGUGGUAAAGUUGAGGGGCUAAAACCCUUUCCGCCAUUGAAACUGGCGCUCUUGAGUGGAAGAGAAGUAUGCGGAAUGCGUGGUGUAGCGGUGAAAUGCAUAGAUAUCACGCAGAACCCCGAUUGCGAAGGCAGCAUACCGGCGUCCGACUGACGCUGAAGCACGAAAGCGUGGGGAUCGAACAGGAUUAGAUACCCUAGUAGUC